UGCAUUCACUACUGUAAGUCGCUCUGGAUAAGAGCGUCUGCUAAAUGUAAAUGU
rfam:Salmo salar isolate Sally breed double haploid chromosome ssa28, whole genome shotgun sequence.